rnacentral:lncRNA from 1 species
AUGCUGCUCGAAGUGCUUGACCACGAUCCCGCCGCCCCGGCGCGGUCGUGCCCCCGCCGCUGCAUGUGCGGGCUUCGGGGGGAGGUGGCGAAAAGGGGAAGAGACCCGGCGUCGUCGCCGGGCCCCACCCUCUCCGUGUGGGCGGUUGGGGCCCCGGGUGCCCGGUUCCCCGCCUUCGGUCGUCAGGGUCCCGGCUUCCCAUGGGGGAGGAAAGGGUCGGUGAUUCCCUCGGCCGGAGCGGCGGGGCGGGAGCUUAAGGCGGCGGUGCCUCUCCUCCCCUUUGCCCCCUUCCUCCGCUCCGCCUCAGCCCGCGGUCGGGUGUCUUUUAGGUUCUCCGGGUCCGUGCUCGCCGACGCGGCCGAACCGCCUCGUCCCCACCGGUGGGGCGGGGUCGGCGGUGCCGAGGCCCCUGCCCCGGCGGCUCGAGAGGGGUCCCCUCGACGUGUGGGCCAGCGAGGGCCCCGGCGGUCAGGCGCCGGGGUCGGUCCCGCUCGCUCGAGUGAGCGUCUUCCCUCCGAGAUGGGGAAUUGGGGUUGGCGUGACCGGCCGGGUGUGCCUUGGUCGCUCGUCCCGACCGCCCCGAGAGGCCUUUCCGCCCCCAUCCUGUCCCGGGUACCUAGCGCGUUCUGGCGCGGAGGUUUAAAGAUUCGGGGGUUGCCCUCCGCUCUCCAGCGGGGUCUUGGGACGGCCGCCCCCUGGGUUUGCCGGACGGGCCAGUGGGAAGAGGAGAUGCCUGGCUCCGACUUCUCCCGUUCUCCGGUGUGGUGCUGGGUUCGGGUCCUGGUCGUGGGGGACCGCCCGCCCGCCCUCGGUGAGGUGUGCUCCGCGUGGAGGCCGCGUCUCCCCGGUCUUUCGUGCUCCCCUGGCCUUCUGGGGGAGGAAAGCGAUCCCGCCCGCCGCGUCGCUCCGUGUCUGGUGGCGUGGGGGGGGAAAGCCUCGUACGGCCUGCGGGCCGCGACGAGCUCGGCCGUGGGGUCGAGGGCAGUAAGUAGUCCGGUCAUCGGGGGAGGGGGGAGGAUAGAGCGGAGUGCUCUUUUCCCCCUCUGUGUGCGUGCGUGGGGUGACCGCGGUUCGCGCUGUCGUCGCCCGUGCGUUUCCGGUGCGGCGCCGUCCGUCCUUGGUCGCGGCCGCCUCGCUCCUCGCUGCACGUGGAGUGCGGGCGAGGACUCUCUGUUUCGAAACCUCCCCCUGAUCCCCGGUGGGCCGUCGCGCUGCUUGCUCUCUCUGCCCUCGCUGUCUCGCCGCGUCCGCUUCCGACGGCCUUCCCUGCGCCGAGGGCCGGCGCCGCGACGAGGCUGGGUCGUCGCUCCUCCCCCUCCGGUCGGGUUGCCGGUGGCCGGGUUGCCCGCGUGCCCCCCUCCGCGGGGUCGCCGCCGUUGGGUUUGUCGGUGGGUGCCGUCCCCCGCGUCGGCCUGUCCCGCUUGCCGCCCCGGGGAAACGGUCGUUCCUCCGAGCCCCCCCACUGCCAAAUCGUGUCGUGUCUCGUUUUUUACCU